UGUUGGAGCAGGGUUGGUAGCUCUCCAGGAGCAGGGUUGGAGAUCCCUGGUUUAGUAACAUACUUUCACUGAGCUGUCAUCUUCAGAAGCUGUGUUUAAAACUGUCUGCAGGUGUUAAGCGUCAUGUUACCAAUCAUCUGAAGCUGUCAAACUGACUGCUUUCGCCACCCAGUGGAGCGGAUGGAAACUUACACUCCAGUUUCUAGUUUUAGUUGCAGACUAGCUCUGAGAUUUAAACUUCAUUUAUUUUACAACAAAAGAUAUGAUUUUGUCAUGGUCUCGGUCAGCAGAUUAUUCUACUAGUUUAGAUAAACGAACUGGAUCAGCUUUCAACUGAUGGGAUGUAGGAGAUCAGAUUCACCAUCUCCCCUUGAGAAGCAUCUGGACAGUGAGUUUGAACAGGAAGCUCUUAGUAAGGAUGAGGAGGAUGUGAAGCUCUGAGCUCUGGAUGAUCAUGAGGUUAUAGAUGAAGGACUGAGACUUUGGCUUCUACAGACCUACAGACACAGAUAUCACAUUUUAGUUCAUGUUAAACCAUGGACGGAUUGAGCACAGAUCAUGUAUUGGUUAAUUUGAUAAAUGAUCAUUAAAAAAAAUACUGUUAACAUAUGUAAUCUAUGAACUGCUGACUGAUAAAACAAC